GGCCAGACUCCUACGGGAGGCAGCAGUGGGGGAUAUUGCACAAUGGGGGAAACCCUGAUGCAGCGACGCCGCGUGAGUGAAGAAGUAUUUCGGUAUGUAAAGCUCUAUCAGCAGGGAAGAAGAUGACAGUACCUGAGUAAGAAGCCCCGGCUAACUACGUGCCAGCAGCCGCGGUAAUACGUAGGGGGCAAGCGUUAUCCGGAUUUACUGGGUGUAAAGGGAGCGUAGACGGUUGUAUAAGUCUGGAGUGAAAGCCCGGGGCCCAACCCCGGGACUGCUUUGGAAACUGUGUAACUUGAGUACAGGAGGGGCAGGCGGAAUUCCUGGUGUAGCGGUGAAAUGCGUAGAUAUCGGGAGGAACACCAGUGGCGAAGGCGGCCUACUGGGCACUAACUGACGCUGAGGCUCGAAAGCAUGGGUAGCAAACAGGAUUAGAUACCCCCGUA
rnacentral:rRNA from 1 species